CUUGAGUUAUAAAUAUAAGAGGUCCAGCCUGCCCAGUGAUUAAAUUUAACGGCCGCGGUAUCCUAACCGUGCGAAGGUAGCGUAAUCACUUGUUCUUUAAAUGAGGACUAGUAUGAAUGGCACCACGAAGGUUUUACUGUCUCCUUUUCCUAAUCAGUGAAACUAAUCUUCCCGUGAAGAAGCGGGAAUAAGCGAAUAAGACGAGAAGACCCUAUGGAGCUUUAAACACAAUAACAAAUACUACUUUAAACAAAAAUUUCUUAAUGACUUACUCCCUAGUAUUAUGAUUAUUAGUUUUAGGUUGGGGUGACCGCGGAGAAAAACACAACCUCCACAUUGAAUGAUAAAAUUCUAAGCAAAGAAUCACAUUUCCACGCAUCAAUACAUUGACAUCAAUUGACCCAAUUAUUUUGAUCAACGAAC
rnacentral:rRNA from 1 species